ensembl:lncRNA
AGAGUAAAAGCUCUGCAACAAGAAAUGGAAAAGUAAGGAGCAGCCGUCGGGUGUCUCUGCCUCCGUUCAAGUCAAACAGGAAGUUGUCCUCAGUUCUCCGUCAGACUCUCCUCCACCUCCACCAGGCCCUGCAGGUACUUGAUGUACCUGAUGGCGGCCCUCAGCGUCUCCACCUUGCUGAGGCGCUUGUCGGCGCUCUGACCCGGCAGGUGGUCCCUGAGUUUGGCGUAGCCUUGGUUCACGCACCUCACCCUCUGCCCGCUCGCGCUCGUUGCGCUUUUGGAUGAAGGCCGGCUCGAAGGGACACUCGUACACGCUGAAGUGGCCGCGGUGGUGGAAGGGGGCCAGGUAGGGCAGCAGCCCGGGGCCCCUCAGAGGGUCCAUGCCCGAAGGGUAGAGGAGGAAGGGCACGGAGCGAUCCUCCCGGUGGCCGGAGGGGGGAGACACGCCGAAGCUCAGAUGCUGCUGCAGUGUUUCCUCCGGUCUGAGGCAGCAGGAUGAAACACUGAAGCUUUACCUGGCUUUACUCGCUGAAGCUCCGCCCCCCCCAGGUGUGAGGCAGGACCGAACACGCCACGUGUAUAAAAGCUUCAGGUGUGAGUCUGAACCUGAAGCCGGAAACACAUUCGCUGCAACAGUCGACCGCGAGACAUCAAAGAGCAUCGCGGGACAGAAAUGAGUGUUUGCAGUUUCCUCUUCCUAAAUCCUGCGUUUCCAGAUGAAAGACAUGAGCGACACACUCCCUUCCUGUCAGCCUCUCAUCACACAACGCACACUGAUGACUGUUUACACACACGCACACGUAACCUGAGAGUUACCGGUUCAUACUCAAAGGUCUUCAUACACAUUUACUGAACUUAUUUAUGUACUUAAUUGUCCAGUGAAUAAACAACAACUGUAGUAAUAUAAUGAUAUACUUUAUGUAUGGAGCAUUUUUCUGGACCAUGUAAGUGAAUGAAUCUUUAUUUAUGAUCACUCCAUUCCUUCAAUCCCCUUUUUUCCUACAAUAUCAUUUCCACGUUGUGCACAUUAUCGUCGAUGUGUGACAAACACCUCGGAAUCCCGAUGUCCGCCGAGGACAGACGCGUCUCCGGGUGGAACGUGAGUGGAGGACAUCGGCGUCGCAGACGGCACCUCAGAGCGUGGACCUUCACCUCAGCGCCGCCCCCCACA